UACGUAGGGGGCAAGCGUUGUCCGGAUUCACUGGGCGUAAAGCGCACGUAGGCGGUUCGUUAAGUCGGAUGUGAAAUCCCUGGGCUCAACCUGGGAGCUGCAUUCGAUACUGGCGAACUUGAGUAUGAUAGAGGGGGGUGGAAUUCCAGGUGUAGCGGUGAAAUGCGUAGAUAUCUGGAGGAACAUCAGUGGCGAAGGCGGCCCCUGGAUCAAUACUGACGCUGAGGUGCGAAAGCGUGGGGAGC
rnacentral:rRNA from 1 species